UGCGUAGGCGGGAAUGUAAGUGGGUGGUGAAAGCGCCCGGCUAAACCGGGCGAGGACCAAUCAGACUGCAUUUCUAGAGGCGGAUAGAGGGGUGCGGAAUUCCGGGUGUAGCGGUGAAAUGUGUAGAGAUCCGGAGGAACACCAGUGGUGCAGACGGCGCCCUGGGUCCGAACUGACGCUGAAGCACGAAAGCGUGGGGAGCGAACG
rnacentral:rRNA from 1 species